rnacentral:lncRNA from 1 species
UGGGUUUGUGGUUUAGAAAUUAAGAUAACAAGAAGAUUUGUGGAUAUUUGAGUAUUCUUUCAGAAUUAUUCAUCAAUAUGUUCUAUUUUUAAAUAAUUUUCUUAUAAACUGCUAUUUAUGAAAGAAAUUCAUUUUUUAUAGAAGUAUUGUAGAUUUGGGUUUGUGGUUUAGAAAGUAGGAUAACACGAAUAUUUUCGGUUUGUUGAUUAUUUUUUCAGAGAUUUUCAUCAAUCGAUUGUAUUUUUAAAUAAUUUUCUUAAAAACUGUUAUUUUUGGAAGUUUUCAUUUUUUAGAGAAAUAUUGUAGAUUUGAGUUUGUGGUUUAGAAAUUAAAAUAACAAGAAUAUUUGUGGAUAUUUGAGUAUUUUUUCAGAAUUAUUCAUCAAUAUGUUGUAUUUUUAAAUAAUCUUCUUAAAAACUGCUAUUUUUGGAAAGUUUUCCAUUUUUUAGAGAAAUAUUUUAGAUUUGAGUUUGAGGUUUUGAAAACAAGAUAACAAGAAUAUUUGUGGAUAGUUGAGUAAUCUUUCAAAUUUAUUCAUCAAUAUAUUGUAUUUUAUACCAAUUUUCUUAAAAACUUCUAUUUUAGAAAGUUUGCAUUUUUUUAGAGGAAUAUUGUAGAUUAGAGUUUGUGGUUUAGAAAUUAGGAUAACCAGAAUAGUUUGUAUUUUUAAUUAAUUUUUUUAAAACUGCUAUUUUUAGAAAGUUUUAAUUUUUUACAGAAAUAUUGCAGAUUUGGGUUUGUGGUUUAGAAAUUAAGAUAACAAGAGUAUUUGUGGAUAUUUGAGUAUCAUUUCAGAAUAAUUCAUCAAUUUGGGUUUGUGGUUUAGAAAAUAAGAUAACAGGAAUAUUUGUGGAUAGUUGGGUUUUUUUUCUAGAAAUUUUCAUCAAUAGGUUGUAUUUUUUAUUAAUUUUAUUAAAAAUUGCUAUUUUUGGAAAGUUUUUAUUUUUAGAGAAAUAUUAUAGAUUUGAGUUUGUGGUUUAGAAAUUAAGAUAACAAGAAUAUUUUCGGAUACUUGAUUAUUCUUUCAGAGAUUUUCAACAAUAUGUUGUAGUUUUAAAUAAUUUUCUUUAAAACUGCUAUUUUUAGAAAGUUUUCAUUUUUUAGAGAAAUAUUGUAGAUUUGGGUUUGUGGUUUAGAAAUUAAGAUAACAAGAAUAUUUGUGGAUAUUUGAGUAUUCUUUCUGAAUUAUUCAUAAAUAUGUUGUAUUUUUAAAUAAAAUUCUUAAAAAGUGCUAUUUUUGGAAAAUUUUCAUUUUUUAGAGAACUAUUAUAGAUUAGAGUUUGUGGUUUAGAAAAUAAGAUAACAAGAAUAUUUGUGGAUAAUUGAGUAUUCUUUCAGAGUUAUCAUCAAUAUAUUCUAUUUUAAAAUAAUUUUCUUAAAACUUCUAUUUUUUUCGGAAAGUUUGCAUUUUUUUAGAGAAAUAUUGUAAAUUUGGGUUUGUGGUUAUUCUUUCAGAGAUUUUCCACAAUAGGUUGUAUUUCUAAAUAAUUUUUUUAAAAAAAUUCAAUUUUUAAAAAGUUUUCAUUUUUAAGAAAAAUAUAUUAGAUUUGUGGUUUAGAAAUUAAGAUAACAAAAAUAUUUGAGAAUAUUUGAGUAUUGUUCCAUAUUUAUUCAUCAAUAUGUUGUAUUUUUAAAUAAUUUUCAUAAAAACUGCUAUUUUUAGAAAGUUUUUAUUUUUUAGGGAAAUAUUGUAGAUUUGGGUUUGUGAUUUAGAAAUUAAGAUAACAAGAAUAUUUGUGGAUAUUUGAGUAUUUUUUUCAGAAAUUUUCUUCAAUAUUUUAUAUUUUAAAUAAUUUUCUUAAAAUCCGCUAUUUUUUGGAAAGUUUUCAGUUUUUGAGAGAAAUAUUGUAGAUUUAAGUUUGUGGUUUAGAAAUUAAGAUAACAGGACUAUUUGUGGAUAGUUAUGUUUUUCAGAAAUUUUCUUCAAUAUGUUAUGUUUUAAAUAAUUUUCUUAAAAGCCGUUAUUUUUGAAAUUUUUUCAUUUUUUAGAAAAAUAUUAUAGAUUUGGGUUUGUGGUUUAGAAAUUCAGAAAACUGGAAUAUUUGUGGAUAUUUGAGUAUUCUUUUAGAGUUUUUCAUCAAUAGGUUGAAUUUUUAAAUAGUUUUCUUAAAACUGAUAUUUUUGGAAAGUUUUCAUUUUUUAGAGAAAUAUUGUAGAUUUGGGUUUGUGGUUUAGAAAUUAAGAUAACCAGAGUAUUUGUGGAUAGUUGAGUAUUUUCAGAAUUAUUCAUUAAUAUGUUGUAUUUUUAAAUAAUUUUUUUAAAAACUGCUAUUUUUGGAAAGUUCUCAUUUUUUAGAGAAAUAUUGUAGAUUUGAGUUUGUGGUUUAGAAAUUAGGAUAACACAAAUAUUUGUGGAUAUUUGAGUAUUCUUUUCAGAAAUUUUUUCAAUGUUUUAUAUUUUAAAUAAUUUUCUUAAAAUCUGCUAUUUUUGGAUAGUUUUCAUUUUUUGAGAGAAAUAUUGUAUAUUUGAGUUUGUGGUUUAGAAAUUAAGAUAACAUGACUAUUUGUGGAUAGUUAUUUUUUUCAGAAAUUUUCUUCAAUAUGUUAUAUUUUAAAUAAUUUUCUUAAAAGCCGCUAUUUUUGGAAAAUUUUCAUUUUUUCAGAAAAAUAUUAUAGAUUUGAAUUUGUAGUUUAGAAAUUCAGGUAACUGGAAUAUUUGUGGAUAAUUGAGUAUUCUUUUAGAGUUUUUCAUCAAUAGGUUGAAUUUUAAAAUAAUUUUCUUAAAACUUGCUAUUAUUGGAAAGUUUUCAUUUUUUAGAAAAAUAUAGUAGAUUUAGGUUUGUGGUUUAGAAAUUAAGAUAACAAGAGUAUUUGUGGAUAUUUGAGUAUUCUUUCAUAAUUAUUUAUCAAUGUGUUGUAUUUAAAAUAUUUUUCUUAAAAACUAAUAAUUUUGGAAAGUUUGCAUUUUAUAGAGAAAUAUUAUAGAUUUGAGUUUGUGGUUUAGAAAUUAAGAUAACAGAAAUAUUUGUGGAUAGUUGAGUAUUUUUUUCAGAUAUUUUCAUCAACAGUUUGUAUUUUAAAUAAUUUUUUUAAAAUCCGCUAUCUUUGGAAAGCUUUCGUUUUUGAAAGAAAUAUUGUAUAUUUGAGUUUAUGAUUUAGAAAUUAGGAUAACACGAAUAUUUGUGGAUAGUUGAUUGUUCUUUAAGAGAUUUUCCUCAAUAGUUUGUAUUUUUUAAAUAAUUUUCUUAAAAACUGCCAUUUUUAGAAAGUUUUCAUUUUUUAGAGAAAUAUUGUAGAUAUGGGUUUGUGGUUUAGAAAUUAAGAUAACAAGAAUAUUAGUGGAUAUUUUAGUACUCUUUCAGAAUUAUUCAUCAAUAUGUUUUCUUUUUAAAUAAUUUUCUUAAAAACUACUAUUUUUGAAAAGGUUUUUUUUUAGAGAAAUAUUGUAGAAUUUGGUUUGUGGUUUAGAAAUUAAGAUGAUAAGAAUAUUUGUGUAUAUUUGAGUAAUCUUUCAGAAUUAUUCAUCAAUAUGUUGUAUUUUUAAACAAUUUUCUUAAAAAUUGCUAUUUUUAGAAAGUUUUCAUUUUUUAAAGAAAUAUUGAAGAUUUGGGUUUAUGGUUUAGAAAUUAUGAUAACAAGAAUAUUUGGGGAUAUUUGAGUAUUCUUUCAUAUCUAUUCAUCAAUAUAUUGUAUUUUAAAAUAAUUUUCUGAAAAGCUGUUAUUUUUAAAAAGUUUUCAUUUUUUAGAAAAAUAUUUUAGGUUUAUGUUUGUGGUUUAGAAAAUAAGAUAACAACAAUAUUUGUGGAUAUUUAAGUAUUUUCAGAAUUAUUCAUCAAUAUGUUGUAUUUUUAAAUAAUCUUAAUAAAACUGCUAUUUUUUAAAAGUUUCCACUUUUUAGAGAAAUAUUGUAGAUUUGAGUUUGUGGUUUAGAAAUUAAGAUAACAGAAAUAUUUGUGGAUAGUUGAGUAUUUUGUUCAGAAAUUUUCAUUAUUAUAUUGUAUUUUUAAAUGAUUUACUUAAAAACUGUUUUUUUUUAAGUUUUCAUUUUUUAGAGAAAUACUGUAGAUUUGAGUUUAUGAUUUAGAAAUUAAGAUAACAAGAAUAUUUGUGGGUAGGUUAUUAUUCUUUCAGAAAUUUUCAUCAAUAGGUUGUAUUUUUAAAUAUUUUUUGAAAAAACUGCUAUUUCUAGAAAAUUUUCAUUUUUUAGAGAAAUAUAUUAGAUUUGAGUUUGUGGUUUAGAAAUUUAGAUAACAAGAAUAUUUUUGGAUAUUUGAGUAUUCUUUCAGAAUUAUUCAUCAAUAUGAUGUAUUUUUAAAUAAUUUUCUUAAAAACUGCUAUUUUGGAAAAGUUUUCAUUUUUUUUAUAGAAAUAUUGUAGAUUUGGGUUUGUGGUUUAGAAAUUAAGAUAACAUGAAUAUUUUUGGAUAGUUGAUUAUUUUUUCAGAGAUUUUCAUCAAUAGGUUGUAUAUUUGUGGAUAGUUGAUUAUUCUUUCAGAGGUUUUCAUCAACUGGUAUAUUUGUGGAUAGUUGAUUAAUCUUUCAAAGUUUUUCAUCAAUAGAUUGUAUUUUUAAAUAAUUUUUUUAAAAACUGAUAUUUUUAGAAAGUUUUCAUUUUUUAGAGAAAUAUUGUAGAUUUGGGUUUUUCUACAAUAUUUCUCUAAAAAUGAAAACUUUCUAAAAAUAUCUCUCUUUAAGAAAAUUAUUUAAAAAUACAAUCUAUUGAUGAAAAACUCUGAAAGAUUAAUCAACUAUCCACAAAUAUACCAAUUAUCUUAAUUUCUAACACACAAACUCAAAUCUAUAAUAUUUCUCUCAAAAUAUUAAAACUUUCUAAAAAUAUCGACUUUUAAGAAAAUUAUUUAAAAUAUAACAUAUUGAAGAAAAUUUCUGAAAAAAACAAUCAACUAUCCACAAAUAUUCUUGUUAUCUUAAUUUCUAAACCACAAACCCUAAUCUACAAUAUUUCUCUCAGCAAUGAAAACUUUCUAAAAAUAACAGUUUUUAAGAAAAUUAUUUAAAAUUUCAACCUAUUGAUGAAAAUCUCCGAAAUAAUAAUCAACUAUUCACAAAUAUUCGUGUUAUCCUAAUUUCUAAAUCAUAAACUCAAAUAUACAUUAUUUCUCUCAAAAACGAAAACUUCCCAAAAAUAGCGAAUUUUAAGAAAAUUAUUUAAAAUACAACCUUUCUAUGAAAAUUUCUGAAAAAAAAAUACUCAACUAUCCACAAAUAUUCAUGUUAUCUUAAUUUCUAAACCACAAACUAAAAUCUAUAAUAUUUCUCUAAAAAAAAAUGCAAACUUUCCAAAAAUAGCAGUUUUUAAGAAAAAUAUUUUAAAAUACAACAUAUUGAUGAAUAAUUCUGAAAGAAUACUCAAAAUUCCACAAAUACUCUUUUUAUCGUAAUUUCUAAACCACAAAUUCAAAUCUAUAAUAUUUCUCUAAUAAAUGUAAACUUUCCAAAAAUAGCAGUUUUUAAGAAAAUUAUUUAAAAAUACAACCUAUUGAUGAAAAUCUCUGAAAGAAUAAUCGACUAUCCACAAAUAUUCGUGUGAUCAUAAUUUCUAAACCACAAACCCAAAUCUACAAUAUUUCUCAAAAAAAAUAUGAAAACUUUCCAAAAAUAGCAGUUUUUAAAAACAAUAUUUAAAAAUACAAUAUAUUGAUGAAUAAUUCUGAAAGAAUACUCAAAUAUCCACAAAUAUUUUUGUUAUCUUAAUUUCUAAACUACAAACUCAAAUCUAUAAUAUUUCUCUAAUAAUGAAAACUUUCCAAAAAUAGCAGUUUUUAAAAACAAUAUUUAAAAAUACAAUAUAUUGAUGAAUAAUUCUGAAAGAAUACUCAAAUAUCCACAAAUAUUCUUGUUAUCUUCAUUUCUAAACUACAAACUCAAACCUAUAAUAUUUCUCUAAUAAUGAAAACUUUCUAAAAAUAGCAGUUUUUAAGAAAAUUAUUAAAAAAUACAAUCUAUAGAUGAAAAACUCUGAAAUAAUACUCAACUAUCCACAAAUAUUUCAGUUAUCUUAAUUUCUAAACCACAAACUCAAAUAUAUAAUAUUUCUCUAUAAAAAUGCAAACUUUACAAAAAUAGCGGUUUUUAAGAAAAUUAUUUAAAAUAUAACAUAUUGAUGAAAAAUUCUGAAAGAAUAAUCACCUAUCCAUAAAAAUUCUUUUAUUCUAAUUUCUAAAUCGAAAACUCAAAUCUACAAUAUUCUCCCAAAAUGAAAACUUUCAAAAAAUAACAGUUUUUAAGAAAAUUAUUUAAAAAUACAACAUAUUUAUGAAUAAUUCUGAAAGAAUACUUAAAUAUCCACAAAUAUUCUUGUUAUCUUAAUUUCUAAACCACAAACCUAAAUCUACAAUAUUUCUCUAAAAACAUGAAAACUUUCUAAAAAUAGCAGUUUUAAGAAAAAUAUUUAAAAAUACAACCUAUUGAUGAAAAAAUCUAAAAGAAUACUCAACUAUCCACAAAUAUUCUGGUUAUCCUAAUUUCUAAAUCAUAAACUCAAAUCUACAAUAUUUCUCUCAAAAAAUGAAAACUUUCCAAAAUAGCGGCUUUUAAGAAAAUUAUUUAAAAUACAACAUAUUGAUGUAAAUUUCUGGAAAAAAAUACUCAACUAUCCACAAAUAUUCAUGUUAUCGUAAUUUCUAAACCACAAACUCAAAUCUAUAAUAUUUCUCUAACGAAUGUAAACUUUCCAAAAAUAGCAGUUUUUAAGAAAAUUAAUUUAAAAUACAACCUAUUGACAAAAAAACUCUGAAAAACUCAACUAUCCACAAAUAUUCUUGUUAUCUUAAUUUCUAAACCACAAACCCAAAUCUACAAUAUUUCUCUAUAAAAUGAAAAGUUUUCAAAAUAGCAAUUUUUAAGAGAAUUAUUUUAAAAUACAACAUAUUGAUGAGAAACUCUGAAAAGAAUAUUCAUAUAUCGAAAAAUAUUCUUGUUAUCCUAAUUUCUAAAUCACAAACCCAAAUCUACAAUAUUUUUCUAUAAAAUGAAAAGUUUCCAAAAAUAGCUGUUUUUAAGGAAAUUAUUUAAAAAUACAACUUUAUGAAUAAUUCUGAAAGAAUACUCAAAUAUCCAUAAAUAUUCUUGUUAUCUUCACUUUUAAACCACAAACCCAAAUCUACAAUAUUUCUCUGAAAAAAUGAAAACUUUCUAAAAAUAACAAUUUUUCAGAAAAUUAUUUAAAAAUACAACAUAUUAAUGAAAAACUCUGAAAGAAUACGCAAAUAUCCACAAAUAGCGGCUUUUAAGAAAAUUAUUUAAAAUACAACCUAUUGAUGAAAAUUUCAAAAAAAAUACUCAACUAUCCACAAAUAUUACUGUUUUCUCAUAGCUCAAUGAUUUAGUUGAAACACCUCGACUCCACGAAGCUUCUUUGGUCGAAUUCAUGGUUGCGAGAAUGAUUACUGGAAAUUAUCUACGUCAAAAGUGUUUCAGUGCACUAACUUGUAUGUACAUAAAUGUUGUAGUAUUAGUGUAUAAAUAUAAUCUGAGCUAGUGGGUAGUGGGUUUUGUUAAGUGAGUGUCUAUCAUAGGAUUCGAAAAUUUUAUCCUUCAAUUUUGUUUUUUUAAUUUUAUCUAGGCACAAAACGACAUUGUUUUGCCAUUUUAACGGUAAGUAAUGAUUUGUUACUCGGAGUAGUAUUUUGAGUUAUUGAAAGAAGUUUGAAGUUGUAUUUGGCAUGACCAAAAUUGUUCGGUUGAAUUACGCUUUUUCCCAAUUCGGGAAACUGUUCUCAGAGGCUCUGGUAAGUUUAUAAAACAAAUGAAUGCUUCCGAUUGUAAUAUAACAAGGAUCUCUAGUUCAAAACAUUUUACUCGGGCUGGACAAAUAAACUGAACCCGAAAACCCGAAUCGAAUCCGAUCCGAUAAAAAUGAAUCCGAACCGAUCCGAACCCGACAUAAAUACUGAAUGGAUCUUGUUUUAUGAUAUUUCGGGUUAUGGGUACUAUCCGAACCGAAUCCGAACCUAAAUGAAUAUCCGAUAGAACCCGAAACAUUCAAAAUUCCCAAAAAUAACUUGUGCCAAACAUGAUCUCAAUUCCUAAUAUGUAUUCAAAAGAUAUUGAACAUCUAAAAUAAUUACAUAUUAUAUGAAGAUUGAUGGUUGAAGGUGGCAGUUGAAGGUGGCAGUUUUUAGAUUUUGGUUUUGUUUUCAUUGAAUAAUGUUUUUUAUUUCAUGAGAACUUGGUUUUCGUUUUAUGCUUUCAUUUAUUUGGUUUUCUUUCGAUCAAUAACUAUGUUUACCUUUCAUUUGAUUUUGAAUGAUCACAUUUGAUGUUCUUUUCUUUUUUUUGAACCGAUUUUAUUUAUGUUUUGGUUACAAAAUAGGUACAAAUCAAGUAUUUUAAAACCGAAGAACCGAUUUUACUUAUUUUUUGGUUACGAAGUAGAUAUAAAUCAGGUACAUUUAAACCAAAGAACCGAUUGGGAUCCGAAUCCGAAAGUACAUCAGGUUGUACCGGUUCUUUGAAGAUUUACUAACCCCGACCUGAACCCGAUAGAAUCCGAACCGGUCCCGAACCAAAUUUUCAUAUAAUCCAACUGGGGCUGAUUUUGAUAAAUCCGAAAAAUCAAAAUCCGAUUGGACUAAACCGAAACUCGAUUGGGACCCCAAAUGCCCAUGCCUACAUUUUACUCACUUGAUAAACCACAAUAACAAAAACUAGAAUCUGAAAAACAAUCAUCUCAUUGUCAUGGUUUCUUAAAAGCAUUUUUUGCAUUAUCCAAGAUAAAAAGCAAAAAUUACAAGCCAAGGCUACAAUAGAUAGAUUAUUAGUAUCCUCCUCUCCCUCGGCCUCUGAAUCCUCCACGGCCCCUGGGAGCACCUCUUGAGGCGAAUCCUCCACGCCCCCUGGGAGCACCUCUUGAGGCGAAUCCUCCACGCCCCCUGGGAGCACCUCUGGAAGAGAAUCCUCCACGUCCCCUAGAAGCACCUCUGCCUCUCCCACGACCUCCCAUAGAUUGUCCCCUGCAAAAAAAAAAAAAAAAAAAAAAAAUGUUAAAGACUUGUACCAACACUUGAACAAGUGGAUUCUACUGCUUAACAGAAGCUAUCUUUUCCCCCAAUGGGUUUAAGAAGUGUGGCUUACUUUGGUUGAGGAAGGAAUUUUGCUAGAGGUAAUAGCUUAGCAGGGUCGAUGUAGAACUUAUCCCCUUCAGCGUACGAGGUAGCUACAAUACCUUCCAUCAUCUUGAUGGAAAACAGCUGAAAAAAGGAACCAAUGCUCUUAGUAUAAGUAAGUAAACUAGUGAUAGAAGAAAGCCACAGAGAGAGUGAACACAUACUGAUUCGUUAAUGGCACCAAAGAUCUCAUCUACUUUCCCAAUCUGGGUCUUGUUUUCAAGGUAGAUUGGAGCAUUGAAGUAAGGGAUCUUCCCCUGAGAGAGCUUGGUCACAGCAUCACCCUCACAAGCAUGGAGAAAGGUUGCAACUUCUGUUAUAACCAACAAAGUUAACCUUGUCAUAACGGAGACAAGUCACAAAGUCCUUUAACUUAAACUAUUGUAACAAAACUUCAAAAGACACUGAUUCAACUCAAAACAAAGGAACUCUGAUAAGCAGGAAACAGUUCAUUCACAUUCAAAGCUGAUAACUUCAUCAAUAAAGUCUUAAGCUUGAGCAGAGCAAGAAUAAGAAUUGACUAAGAAAAGAGCAAACGAACCAAUGACUUCGCUGGGAGGUCCUUCGUCACGAUAUCCACCACCAAAGCGUCCACCGCCGCCACCAAAACGUCCGCCGCCGCCACCAAAGCGUCCGCCGCCAUCUCUUCCUCCCCGUCCCCUGAAGCUCCCGCCGCCACGUGGUGGUCUCAUCUUCUGGUUUUAUUUGUUCUUUGAGCUGCGCUCUGCUACUCAGCAAGGUUCAGGGUUUUAGUGGAGAGGUGUGGUGACUUCUCGUUUACAAAAAAAUAGAUUAAAAAGGGUGGCUGGCUUCUAGGGUUUUCACCAAAUGAAAGACCGGUUUACAACUUAAACCGGGAAUCUAACGAAUUGACAUAUGGUUUGCUAUGUUUGCUGACUUGACACUCGGCUACCGGUUCGGUUUGAUUAAACCAAAAAAACCAAGAACAGAGCAGUAAUAAAAAAAUAAACUUCAGUUUAAGAUUUGUUAUUGACUUAUUGUCAUCACACAAUAGUAUGGUCAUUUGACAAAUAUAGUAGUGUUAUGAAAUAACUUAUAAUUUAUAGUAUCGUAAAAUUUAAAUAAGAGUAGAAUUUAAUACCCGUAGGAAGCAAAUAACACUAGUAUAAGGGAGAGAGUUUAUUAUAAGAAGGAAGAAGAAAAUGUAAUGAUUCUUUGAUGAAUUACUCUUGUUUUUGUUUAUGGUGUACAAAAGAGUGAGAUGAGUGAUGAUAUUUAUAGUGAACAAUAAUACAUAAAAUAACAAAGAUAGUGCUUAAUUUGGUAAAUGAGUGGGUGAUCAUAGUGUUUGAUGAGUAGAUGAUCAUAGUGCUUGAGUUGAUAAAGGAGUGGAUGAUCAUAGUGCUUGAGUUUGGUAAAGAAGUGGAUGAUCAUUUCAAUGCUUAAUUUAUAACACUCCCCCUUGAUCAUCCAUCUUGUAUUACGUGGUGCCUCGUUAAAAACCUAGUCAUGGAAAACCCAAUGGGAAAAACCGUAGUAAAAGUAAAAAGAGUACAACUACGUAAGCUCCCCCUCGAAUGAGUAGUCAUAGAACCUUUAGAACAAUGAUAGAUUUUCAUCUCUCAAAUUGUAACAUUCUCUUUGGUUGUCUAUCUUUUGUAUGUUCUUUGUUGCCUCGUUAAAACCUUGUCAUGGAAAAACCCAAUGGGAUAAAAAAAAAACCAUGAUAAGGAAAAAGAGUACAACCACACUUACUAUCAUAUUUCUUUCCCUGGAAACAAUAUCUUCAGGAUAUGCAUUCCAAUCAACUCUCUUCAGAGAAUUAAGCUUAAGAGAAUAAACUCUAUUCAUUUCUAUUAUGAUAUCUAGGGCCUUUAGACUUCUUGUCCAUAAUUCUCUUUUGACUUAGACAAUAGUUUAUUGGUCUAUUUGGAUUUCAAACCAAAUUUCUUACAUAUAAUCGUAUAGAAAUUCGUCUCGUACAUACGAAUUAUUCAUUUGUAACUAUAGAAGUUACUAUUAUGAUUUUCUUUCUUUUCAUAUGAAAUUACAUCUUUCAGUAAUGAAAAAGAUUAAUAAUUUUCUUAAAUAACACUCUUACGUAUGGUAUUUCAGGACCAAACAUAUACGAGCGUCUUAAAUAAAAUACUUUAAGGAUCUUUAUGAUAACAUCUCAGUUUUAGAUCUCCAGUUUAGAAUACAUAAAAACAAUAUAGUAUUGUCAAGAGUUUUCUUUCAAAAUAUAAUUUUUCUAUAACUCUUCAGGAGUUUUGAUUAUAUUCAAAUCAUGAUUCUAUUGAUUUAUAAUCUCUUGAUAAAUACAAAUGGAUACAUUUGUUAACCUUAUAAUAUUUCAUAUAUCCCAUAAAAUAGUUUGUUUCAAUUCGAUCGAAUAUGCAGAGUUCCCGGGAACAUGAUUUUGAUAUCAUCAAUCCUUCAUGGAUUAUACUUUCAGGGAUUAACAUUUUUCAAGUGGAUUGUUUUAUUCAAGUUCUUCCUUUAUUACCAGACUAUAAGGAACUUGAAACUAGUUGCAUCUACCAUAUGAAAUUAUGUCUCUUCACAAUCAAUUUCAUAUUGAUCCUUCUUUGUGUGCAACGGUUCAUUUACAUCUCACUUGUUUUACACCUUUUAGUGUAUGGACUACUGGUCCAAAUACUUCUCUAUUUCACAAGAAGUUUAUAUCUUUGUCUAUUGCAUCUUUCUGAUUUGGCCAAUCAUUUCUUUGUGUACACUUUUCAAUAGACUUUCUUUCAUGAUCCUCUUUCUCAUUUAUUAUAUCAACUGCUACUUUGCAUGUAUAAUAUCAUCGACGUCAAUUUUCUUAUCGGUUCCAUUUUGUUUCAUACAUGACAUAACUUAUUGAGAUCUCUUCAUUUGUCUCAGGUACCUGAAUUUUCGUCAGUCAUGUUUAAUUUCUCUUCGGGAGAUCAUACAAAACUAUAUUGCCUCGUUUUGACCAUUAUCAAUAUAUGCUCCUUUUUCAUUUACGAGGAUUUAUCUUUGGAACCAAUCUGUCUACCACGCUGCAGGCGUGACUAGCAGUUUGAUAUUGUUCUUGUAGAACAUUUAUUCUUAUUGGAGCAUUUACAGCUGGUAUAUGUGACUUGAUCACUAUAUUUAUAUGGGUCGUGUCUGGCAACUGCUUUAGUAAGUUUUGAAAUGAAUUAUCUUUUGGACUUCUAUUUCACAUUGUGUUUAGCCCGAGGAUCAAUGAUAAUUCAUUUCAACUUAUUUUCUUUUCCAGCUGUUUAUUUUCUCCCCCUUAUGUUGGAAGUACUAACUCACUUUUAGAAUUCAUGUAUAGCCUUACUUAUAUUUUUCGGGGAUGGCUCUGGAUUCUUAAGUGUCAAUAGAGAUUUAUAUCCAACAUAUAUUUCCAACCUCAUUUGAAAACACAUCUUCAUUUGAAGCUCUGUGGCGGAGCAACAUCCAACAUUCUUAGAUGAAAAUGAUUGGUUUCUGAUUCUAUACCAAUGAUGGGGAGAACUAGUGAAUAUUUAUUGGCUUGAUGCGAUCCAAUGUUGCUCAAAAUGUUUAGCACUUAUCUCAGUGAAUGUGCUAUAGUCGUUAAAGACUUUAAGAAGUGAAUUCACCAAUAUUAUAAAAAUGCAUAGUGGGUGAUCAGUCCACUAACAUCUUCGUUAUUUAUGCCAAUAUCUUAUUUUGGCUGGUGAAAACCAUAUUACCCUUUUAUCUUAUGGGUAAGCAACAUAUGUCAAAUCAUUCGGAAGAAUCUUCUGGUUCUUAUAUGACUAUGCAUAUGACCUUUAAGUAUAUAUUCGCAUUAUUAAUGAACCAAAAUGGUCUAACUGAUUCAUGCCAAAUGUAAACUUCUAGUUUACUAUACAUUUAUCUUCAUUAUACUAAUCUUUGUGUAGUACAAUAUAUAAGAGGCUGUAGAUAUUUUCUCUAAAAUACUUAUACUGCUUUGAGAAUUAUUUCUGAUUGAAAUGUAUAUAUCAUUUCGUUUGCUUAUUGUCUCAACAUAAGUGUCUCAAAAUCUUACGGAUUUACUUUGAGAAAAAUUCAUCAAUCUUAGUUUUAGUGUAAACAUAAUCUUCUGGAUGUUUGACUUAUCAUAAAAAGUGAGAUUCUUUAACUCUUCCCCUCGAGAUUAUAAUACUACAGGUUUAUCAAUCUCGAAUGUAUCUCAUUUUCUUAAUCAACAACAUAUCCUACAUGGGUUAUGUAUUUUUCGUAGAUCCUUUUAACUUUUGAUACUUAUAAAAAUACAAUACCUUAAGAACUUUAAAUUGCAUUCUUAAGAACUUUAAAUUAAAUUUUUAUGUGCAGUAAUACUAUGUAUACUUCUGGAGCAUCAUAUAUAUCCUCUUUUUAAGCAUUCUAUAAGUUUUUACUACCUUGUAUUGUACACACAAUAAAUUUUCUUUCAUCUUCAGAUGAAUUCAUAAUUUCUUUUCUUUAUUACCAUGUUUAUUUUCUCAACUUUAAGUGAGAGUAUGAGUUCUAUAAAGAAACUCUUUGGACCUUGACCUCAUUUAUGCUCACGUCUAAAACCACUAUUUAUGAGUUUUUUAAAUGUCAUAUUCUCUUCAGGAGAAUGAAUCAUAAUCAACUAGACGUGAUUUAUCAAUAGAUAUUUUUCAAUAUAUAUGCAUCAUAAAAAAAUUUCUUGAAGAAAUUUUACUUUUAAACUUAACAUCCAACAUAGUUGGCUUUAUUUACAGACUUCAGGUCUUGUAAUCUUUAAAUGCAAAAUACAAAAUGAGCUUUAGGUAAUCACUUCAGGUGAUAAUACAUUUUUUAUAUAUAUUAUUCUCCAAAACUUAUGGAUCUUUUAGAGUGAAGCUUUAAACUUAAAAUCCUCAAUAUAAAUGGUAAUAAAAUCAAAAUAUUUCAAAUAUAUAUAAAUAUGUAUUAACAAAGGUGUCUUAUUAUAUCAGAAAAUAAAUAAAACUUUCAUAGUAAUUAUUAUAUAGACUAUAUUAUUACUCUCAUGCUUUUUAACAAAGUUUAACCUAUCAAUCAAUUUAAUGAACAAAUUUAUAUCACUGCCAACUUCAUGCAAAUUGAUUUAUCUAAUCAAGUUUGUUAAACUUGUAUAUAAAGCAUAAAAAUACUUAUCUUAUAAACAGAAGUAUAUCGGCGAUGAAAGUUUCAGCUGUUCACGUUUCUGAAUUGGCUGAUAACUUGUACAUAUCUUUCCGAGAGAAUACACAAUCCUGAAAACUUUAAAUUUUGCUCAUAUAAACAUGGCCAUUACAUUAGUAAAUAUCAACAUAUAAUCCAAAUUCUUUUAUGAUAUUAGACCAAAGACUAAUCGACUACAAAACUAACCGAUUACAAAUAAUUUCUUUUAUGAUGUUAGACCAUGAAUCAUAAAGUAUGUUUCCUUAAUACCAUUAAACCAUGAAGCAUAUUAAAGUAUAAUAAGCAAAAUUUAAUUCAUCAAAUAACUAUUAUUCUUACAUAUAGACAAGCGUUGAUAUAUAUAUAUAUAUCAUCGUCUAAAAUGACUAUAUAUAUAUAUAUAUAUAUUUAGAAUUUCGCAAUUUUAAAAUGAACCAUUUAUUAUGAACUUCAUAAUUUAAAAACCGUUUACAUUAAUCAUACAAGCAAUUACAAGGAGAAGCGAUGUAAAGAAAAUUAAACCGAUAAUCAUCUUAAAUUCACUCGGAGUAAAUUCUCCAUCGAAUAAACCAUAAAUAGAAACACAAAUAAAAAUGGCACAUAAAAACAAAAGUGCGCGAAUCAUCUUUCUUGAAAAAUCGGAGGAGAGCGAUUUUGAAAUUUUUGAGAGAAGAUGAAAUGUUUUGGAUGAUGAAAUGAAGUGAAAAUGAGUUGUAUUUAUAGAUGAAAAUUACUGUUCAUGACCGUUGGAGAAAGGGGAAAUUUUUGAAAAAAAUUCUUUGUGACCGUUGGGGUUAAAUCGAGUGCACCAAAAAUUAGUCCGAAAAUAUCGUAUUAAACGGUCAAUCAAAUCUAUAAAAUUUCAUAAAAGUGAAAAAUUAUGACAAUGAAAUAUUUAUGUUAUAUGACAAUAAAUCAUGCGACGGCUCAGCCGAUCAAUGCAUAAUAUCAAAUAAAUUAUACGGCGGCUCGGCCGACCAAUUAAUAAUAAACAGAAUAUAAGGCGGCUCAGCCGACCAAUAAAUAAUAAACAGGAUAUAAGGCGGCUCGGCCGACCAAUAAAUAAUAAACAGGAUAUAAGGCGGCUCGGCCGACCAAUAAAUAAAUUAAAUUACUAGUAAAUAAUAUAGGCGGUAUUCCGGCCAUUAUAACAUGAUAUAAAUAAUAGUAGAGGCGGUAUACCGACCAUUAUAACAGGGUAUAAAUGAUACAAAUAAAUUUUACCGAAUCGCAGAGUGAUCGUGCUGAUAACGUGUUAUGAAAUAACUUAUAAUUUAUAGUAUCGUGAAAUUUAAAUAAGAGUAGAAUUUAAUACCCGUAGGAAGCAAAUAACACUAGUAUAAGGGAGAGAGUUUAUUAUAAGAAGGAAGAAGAAAAUGUAAUGAUUCUUUGAUGAAUUACUCUUGUUUUUGUUUAUGGUGUACAAAAGAGUGAGAUGAGUGAUGAUAUUUAUAGUGAACAACAAUACAUAAAAUAACAAAGAUAGUGCUUAAUUUGGUAAAUGAGUGGGUGAUCAUAGUGUUUGAUGAGUAGAUGAUCAUAGUGCUUGAGUUGGUAAAGGAGUGGAUGAUCAUUUCAAUGCUUAAUUUAUAACAAGUAGGACAAUUAUCUGAAUAGCUCUGAGUUUUUGUUACAAAAAUACCACUGAAAAAAAAGAUCAAAAUAGUUUUUUUUUUUGUUUUGAAAUUUUUGAUUUAUUCUCAAAACUCCACAAUUAAUAAAAUUUAUGUUGUUCAUUUUCUUUGUUGAAAACUAUUUUUGUAACAAAAACUUAAAAACUAUCCUAAGAAAUUUUUCAAUAUUACAGGAUGAUUAAUAUAAUUUUAUUUAUAUAAUGCUUAUCUAUUCAAGAUUUGAGAAUAUUAAUAUAAUUUUAUUUAUUUAUCGUUAUUUGCUUGGAAAGAGUCUUCGCAAAAUAAAAGAACACUUGCAUAAUUUAGUGCGUACAAAAAGAGUUUCGAAGUAUCUGAUCAAAACCAGAUUUGAGUCUUUGUUGCAUCCCAUUUGGAUGAUCUUUUAUCACUAUCCUUGAAGGCUUAAUUAGACAUUUAGAAAAAGAAAAAAAAAUCUAGCAUAGACUACUCCUUCAUUGUGAAUAUAGAUUAAUUGUUUUCUUUUUGGUGUAUCUGUUGUUAAUCAUCACUUUAUAGGAAAUAGCAAGAGCAAAACAACUUCUCUUUUAUUACCGUCUACGGAGUAGUUCUUAUUACAUUAGUACAUUAUUUAUGGAACACGCACCAUGACUAUGUAGUGUUAACAUACAUCAACAACCACACUCAUAUCACCGUGGUACAUACACUCUCGAGGAUUUCGUUUGGAAUCAUCUAGUAGAAGCCGGGCCCAGGCAUGGUCUUCUGGAAGGGACAAAUGCUAACUUGCCUGAUGUUGCAAACUCUUGGUAAGUGCGUAGCAGUCUGGUAGAUACGGCUAAUUACUUGCUGCAUCUGCUGUCCCUGCAUUUGUUGUCCCUGUUGUUGUCGAACCUGUUGUUUAACGGCUUUGGAUGCUCCUUUCAAGGUUGGGCAAACGCAAAGUGGCUCUUCCUGGUGGAGCUCGUUGCAGCACUGCUGGAGCAGCGGUGGCCUCUGCUGCGGGCCCUGUUGUUGGUUCUCCACGUCGUCUUCAAAAUCAAACUCACCGUCGAGGGUCCAGCUUGGACCACUACCACCACCGGGCUGCAUUGCCUGCUU